rnacentral:rRNA from 1 species
GACGAACGCUGGCGGCGUGCUUAAUACAUGCAAGUCGAACGGAAAGGCCCUGCUUUUGUGGGGUGCUCGAGUGGCGAACGGGUGAGUAACACGUGAGUAACCUGCCCUUGACUUUGGGAUAACUUCAGGGAACUGGGGCUAAUACCGGAUAGGAGCUCCUGCUGCAUGGUGGGGGUUGGAAAGUUUCGGCGGUUGGGGAUGGACUCGCGGCUUAUCAGCUUGUUGGUGGGGUAGUGGCUUACCAAGGCUUUGACGGGUAGCCGGCCUGAGAGGGUGACCGGCCACAUUGGGACUGAGAUACGGCCCAGACUCCUACGGGAGGCAGCAGUGGGGAAUAUUGCACAAUGGGCGGAAGCCUGAUGCAGCAACGCCGCGUGCGGGAUGACGGCCUUCGGGUUGUAAACCGCUUUCGCCUGUGACGAAGCGUGAGUGACGGUAAUGGGUAAAGAAGCACCGGCUAACUACGUG